rnacentral:rRNA from 1 species
CAGUCGCCACGGUAAUACGAAGGGGGCUAGCGUUGUUCGGAAUUACUGGGCGUAAAGCGCACGUAGGCGGAUACUUAAGUCAGGGGUGAAAGCCCGGGGCUCAACCCCGGAACUGCCUUUGAAACUAGGUGACUAGAAUCUUGGAGAGGUCAGUGGAAUUCCGAGUGUAGAGGUGAAAUUCGUAGAUAUUCGGAAGAACUCCAGUGGCGAAGGCGACUGACUGGACAAGUAUUGACGCUGAGGUGCGAAAGCGUGGGGAGCAAACAGGAUUAGAUACCCCUGUAGUCCCUGUCUCUUAUAA